rnacentral:rRNA from 1 species
CUCGAUGAGUAGGGCGGGACACGUGGUAUCCUGUCUGAAUAUGGGGGGACCAUCCUCCAAGGCUAAAUACUCCUGACUGACCGAUAGUGAACCAGUACCGUGAGGGAAAGGCGAAAAGAACCCCGGCGAGGGGAGUGAAAAAGAACCUGAAACCGUGUACGUACAAGCAGUGGGAGCACAGGUUUACCUGUGUGACUGCGUACCUUUUGUAUAAUGGGUCAGCGACUUAUAUUCUGUAGCAAG